AAACUUUUAACAAUGGAUCUCUUGGCUCUUGCAUCGAUGAAGAACGCAGCGAAAUGCGAUAGGUAAUAUGAAUUGCAGAAUUCCGUGAAUCAUCAAAUUUUUGAACGCAAAUUGCACUUCUUGGUAUUCCAAGGAGUACACAUGCUUGAGGGUCAGUU
rnacentral:rRNA from 1 species